CCUACGGGAGGCAGCAGUAGGGAAUCUUCCACAAUGGACGAAAGUCUGAUGGAGCAACGCCGCGUGAGUGAUGAAGGUUUUCGGAUCGUAAAACUCUGUUGUAAGGGAAGAACAAGUACGAGAGGGAAUGCUCGUACCUUGACGGUACCUUGCGAGAAAGCCACGGCUAACUACGUGCCAGCAGCCGCGGUAAUACGUAGGUGGCAAGCGUUGUCCGGAAUUAUUGGGCGUAAAGCGCGCGCAGGCGGCCUUUUAAGUCUGAUGUGAAAGCCCCCGGCUCAACCGGGGAGGGUCAUUGGAAACUGGAAGGCUUGAGUACAGAAGAGAAGAGUGGAAUUCCAUGUGUAGCGGUGAAAUGCGUAGAGAUGUGGAGGAACACCAGUGGCGAAGGCGACUCUUUGGUCUGUAACUGACGCUGAGGCGCGAAAGCGUGGGGAGCAAACAGGAUUAGAUACCCUGGUAGUCCACGCCGUAAACGAUGAGUGCUAGGUGUUGGGGGUUUCCGCCCGUCNGUGCUGAGACUACGCAGUAGACGACGUCCGCCGUCGGGAGGUACGGCCGGCGACGGCGUUAGAACGUACGUUAAGUUAGUAAGUUAGACGGCGUGAGACGCGCGACGGACGACGACGAGGGAGGAGG
rnacentral:rRNA from 1 species